GGUGGGCUGUGGGACGACUACCGGCGGAGGAUCCACCUUCUUUGGAGGCGGAGGGUUCGCUUUCGGGGGUGGUGGGUCAACCUUUUUGGGCGGAGGAGGGUCCGCCUUUUUGGGCGGAGGUGGGUCCGCCUUUUUGGGCGGAGGUGGAUCGGCUGCCUUUUGGGGCGGAGGAGGGUCGGCGGCUUUACUGGGUGGUGGUGUGUCGGCCUUUUUGGGGGGUGGGGGAUCGGCUUUUUUGGGAGGCGGAGGAUCAACCUUUUGAGGUGGGGGUGGAUCAGGUUUUUUGGAAGGGGGAGGAUCGACUUUUUUGGGUGGUGGAGGAUCGGCGG
rnacentral:lncRNA from 1 species